UGGUAGUGUGUCGUGUGGGGUAUUGUGUCAUUAUGGGUAUUGUGUCAGUAUGGGGUAUUGUGUCGUCAUGGGGUAUUGUUGUCGUCAUGGGUAUGGUGUCGUAUGGGGUAUGGUGUCAUUACGGGGUAUGUGUCGUUAUGGGGUAUUGUGUCGUCACGGGGUAUUGUGUCGUCACGGGGUAUUGUGUCGUUAUGGGGUAUUGUGUCAUUAUGGUAUGGUUCUUAGGGUUUGUAUGGGGUAUUUGUCGUUAUGGGGUAUUGUUCAUUAUGGGGUAUGGCAUUAUGGGUAUUGUGUCAUUAUGGGGUAUUGUGUCAUUAUGGGGUAUUGUGUCAUUAUGGGGUAUUGUGUCAUUAUGGGGUAUUGUGUCAUUAUGGGGUUUGUGCUUAUGGGGUAUUGUGUCAUGAGGGGGGUAUUGUGUCAUUAUGGGGUAUGGUGUCGUUAUGGGGUAUUACUUGGGGUAUUGUUCAUGGGGUAUUGUGUCAUUAUGGGGUAUGUGUCAUUAUGGGG
rnacentral:lncRNA from 1 species